rnacentral:rRNA from 1 species
AUUGAACGCUGGCGGCAGGCCUAACACAUGCAAGUCGAACGGUAACAGAAAGCAGCUUGCUGCUUUGCUGACGAGUGGCGGACGGGUGAGUAAUGUCUGGGGAAACUGGCCCGGAUGGAGGGGGAUAACUACUGGAAACGGUAGCUAAUACCGCAUAACGUCGCAAGACCAAAGAGGGGACCUUCGGGCCUCUUGCCAUCGGAUGUGCCCCAGAUGGGAUUAGCUAGUAGGUGGGGUAAAGGCUCACCUAGGCGACGAUCCCCUAGCUGGUCUGAGAGGAUGACCAGCCCACACUGGAACUGAGACACGGUCCAGACUCCUACGGGGAGGCAGCAGUGGGGAAUAUUGCACAAUGGGGCGCAAGCCUGAUGCAGCCAUGCCGCGUGUAUGAAGAAGGCCUUCGGGUUGUAAAGUACUUCAGCGGGGAGGAAGGGAGUAAAGUUAAUACCUUUGCUCAUUGACGUUACCCGCAGAAGAAGCACCGGCUAACUCCGUGCCAGCAGCCGCGGUAAU